rnacentral:sRNA from 1 species
CGUGCACCACUGCCCCAGGCCAUAGCUGGCUGGGGGAAGGCUUGGGCUCCCCUGCUGCUCUGCCAUCGCCUCCCUGGGAGGAUCUUUGACUUCAGCUUCUCCUCGCUCUGUGGCUGUGGGCUGCUUGGAGUGGGCAUCUGGCUCUCCGUGUCCCAAGGCAACUUUGCCACCUUCUCCCCCAGCUUCCCUUCGUUGUCUGCAGCCAACCUGGUCAUCGCCAUAGGCACCAUUGUUAUGGUGACGGGCUUCCUUGGCUGCCUGGGGGCCAUCAAGGAAAACAAGUGCCUCCUCCUCAGCUUUUUCAUCGUCCUGUUGGUCAUCCUCCUAGCAGAGCUGAUCUUACUCAUCCUCUUCUUUGUCUACAUGGACAAGGUGAACGAGAACGCCAAGAAGGACCUGAAGGAAGGCCUGCUGCUGUACCACACCGAGAACAACGUGGGGCUGAAGAACGCCUGGAACAUCAUCCAGGCUGAGAUGCGAUGCUGUGGCGUCACAGACUACACAGACUGGUACCCAGUGCUGGGGGAGAACACGGUUCCCGACCGCUGCUGCAUGGAG